rnacentral:tRNA from 1 species
AAGGAUUUAAGUUAAAAAAACUAUUAACCUUCAAAGUUAAAAUUAUAAAGAUUUAUAGGCCUUA